rnacentral:rRNA from 1 species
UGCCUGGGNGNACAANCUGCCAGCACUGCCGCGUGAGUGAAGAAGGUCCUUCGGAUCUGUAAACCUCUGUUUGUUCGGGAAGAACAUCUUUUGGGACUAAUACGCCUGGUACCGUAUGACGGGUACCUGAAGAAAAAGCCACCGGCUUAACUACCGUUGCCCAGCAGCCCGCGGGUAAUACNUUAGGUGUGCAAAGCNGUUUAAUCGGGAAUUACUGGGGCCGUAAAAGCGCUGCGCCAGGNCGGGUUCUUUAAGUCUGAUGUGAAAAUCCCCGGGCUUAACCCUGGGAACUGCAUUUGAAACUGCCCGGCUAGAGUGCGGAAGAGGGAAGUGGAAUUCCCCGUGUAGCAGUGAAAUGCGUAGAUAUGCGGAGGAACACCGAUGGCGAAGGCAGCUCCCUGGGCUAUGCACUGACGCUCAUGCACGAAAGCGUGGGGAGCAAACAGGAUUAGAUACCCUGGUAGUCCACGCCCUAAACGAUGUCAACUGGUUGUUGGUCCUUUACUGNCUUNGUAACGUAGCUAACACGUGUUAGUUGACUCCCUGUGGAGUACACGGCUCGCAAG